rnacentral:misc_RNA from 1 species
GACCUCCCAUUGCAUGCACGGUAUCAACCCCUAGGUGAAAGUGGUUAUUCAAUGGUGGAAUUUGGCACACCAGAUUUAUUUGUACGGUGCUGCAUGGAAGGAAACUUAAGCAAUCAAAGCUGCUUAUUUGCACCGAGCAGUGACAGUGUUGAAACCAAAACUAGUGCUGUUGUGUGGAGAAUUCCUUCUGGUACUAAGAUACAUACUGGUAUUGUGUCUGUCAUUACUUUUGUUGCAGCCUUCAUAUCAACUCUUGUUAUUGUCCUGACAUCCAUGUUUUAUUCUGAUAUUAAUUGUGCAAAAACAUUUAAAUUAUCAUAGUUUUGAUGUUUUUGUAGCUUGAUUUUUUUGAGUAAGAGAGGCUGAGCAUCUUCUUUGAGAUGAUUUGUAGACUUAUUAUGUACACCUUAAUACUUUUGUUCUCGCAAUCAUCCCGACAUCAAUGAUGUUUCUCUAUCCCUUUGCCUGUCAUAGAAAUAUACAUUCAAGUCGGG